UCUUUCAUUUUUUUUCCCACCCGAAACACGCCUUAACCUCACCCCUAUCUCCUUCAUUUUCUUUUCUGUGAUAAACCCUAAGCUCUGCAGUAGAUUUCUCUCUCUUCCAUCGCCAAAAAUGGCAGCGAUACAGAGGGAUCAGGUUUCACGUGGUCCUAGUACACCUAAAUCUAGUAGAACAAUCAAUGCUUUGUACGAACUCUUGGUGUAUACAUCAAGCAAGGUAAUUUCAAUCUCAUUUCCCUUUUUCUUUCUGUGAUUUCUCAGUCAAAGAUGUAAGGGAAUGGAUCUGAACCCAGUGACCUCGAUUUUCAUUAGCCGAAUCUCAUUUGACAUGGAUCGAGGUGAACUGACCAAGAUCAAACCCUUUAUCAUUGUUUAGUGAAGAUCUAAGUCGUUCGUUUCUAAGUAAACCACAAAUUUUAGGAAAAACUUUCAAGUCACACAUCGAUGGACUAGGGUUAAAAUUUUGUUUAGACUUGACUGUGAAGUUGCGUCUUUAGUUCAAAAAGUUAUUUAUUUUUGCCUUUUCUUGUUUGGCUGAGUUCGAGAAUUGGAAGCACAGAGGCUCCAAGUCCAUUUUUGCUCCGAUAGCAUAUCAAAAAGAUAAUUACUUACUAUUCUAUCGCUUUCAUUUAAUUUUUGUUUGUCUUAAUGUUAAUUUAGUUGUAAUUAAGUGUUCUGUGUUUAGUUUAAGAUGUUGAUAUAGCUAUGUUUUACUUGUUUUCACAUUAUGCUUUACCCAAAUGAUCAAUACGGUAACAUGUAUCUGUUCCUGAUAGUUUAGCCUGAGGUUUGUUUGGUUGAUUGUUGAUCUUGAGGGAUUAACCCAAGUUGUGACUUGUGAUUAGUUUGUUUUCACUUUAGUUAGACCUGUUAAAGAUAGGGUCAUAUGGAAUAGAGUAGAUAUGAGUUAAAUGAAGAGAUUUUCUAGGUCUAACCUAAAGAAAUGGAAAAUGUAAGCUGGUUUUGAAUUCUGGUUAUGUAAAAAAUGAUUUGAAAUGAUGUGGUAAUUAAUGUUUUGAGAUUAGAGGAUCAUGACUAUCACAUAGUUUAAAUUAGGACCAGUUUAACCACUCAGGAUGUGAAGGUGCUCUUAAAACAAGAUUCUUGUUAACUAAAAUGUGGUUCUGAAUGUGCAAUAGCCUUGUCAAAACAUGUUAACUUAAAUAUGUAGUCUUAAUGAGCCUCUUGUGGGCCUAUUCAUUUCAUGAUCUUGUUUCUGUGAAAUCAAUUCAUGUGUAAAGGAUAUGAAAGGGCCUAGGCAGUUUAAAAUGAAGGGUGUGCUUUUAUAAUCCAAAUUUGAUUUCUGAUUAUACAACUGGACUUAAAUGUUUGCCAACAAUAAAGUAGAGUUGCAGAACCGCUUAAUGACUUUAAGAUUAAUAAAAAAAAAAACUAUAGUAAGUUAGCACAGAUUAUUUACAUGUCAUUGAGUAUGUUGUGUCUCCAUAUGAUUGAAUACUUAGCCCUUAAAAGGGGAGAGGGGAGGGGAAAGAAUAAAAGAGGAAGGGAAAACUUGAUAUGAAUCUGUCCAGGUCAUGUCAUGAAAGCCUCCUGUAUUAUUUAUAAAAUUGCGCUUAGAUAUUGAGUGCCCGUUGAUCAUAGACAAGAACAGGGCUAAUAGUAAUGUUUGUCCUUUCUUUAGGGUUGAAAUAUGUUAUUCUGGUUCUGUCCUGAUAUGCCUAGAGGUUUAGUUGAUUAUUGUAAUUAAACUUGUAUAGAUCAUGUUAUGUGAGGGACUGAUAUUCUGAAUAUGACCUUAGUAUGAACUUAAGGGGGUAAAAUGGGACUAAAUGGGGAUUGAAAUGAUCUAUCUCGGUGAAGUCUCAUGUGGAUAAGUUAUAAAUGUGAUUUGUCUCUUCUUUGGUGUUAUUGAGAUUGAUACAAAUGAAAGGGUUGAAAGGGUCAUAGGGUAUGGAUACAUAAAUUGUAAACCACUUGGCAGUGAGGCAGUCUUUUAAAGACACUUUGAGAGAAGGGAGACAUAGGACCAGGAUUUACUUGGUUCAUAAUGUCUUCUUCCAAAUAAAAGGUUGCCACGGCAUAUCUCAUAUGCCUAUGGGGUAAAAUCUAUAGUAUCCAUACUCUAUUUUCUUCCUUCCUUGUUCAUUAGAUCAAAGGGAGCCUAAAAUGAACAUGUCCGGUCUUUGUUUACAAUUCUUACUACUGUCCUUGUUCUGGUUGGCUUGUCUGUUACUAGUUAUCUUCUCACCUUUGAUAAAAAUGGGAUCAAAAGAGUUUUAAAAGAAUUGAUCUGGAAUUUGGAAUAUGCAUCAUGACAUAAAGACUGGAUAUUUUCUUAAGUUGUGUGUCUUGCUUCUUUGUUUAUUUGUUCUCUGAAAUCCGGCAAGAUAAAAGAGUAUAAAGGCUGUGCCUAAAACUUGAAGUGAUACAGUAACAACAUGGUUCAUUUCUGUAUAAUGGUUCUUGAAUUUUGUUUAGUGGGCCUACAAACCUUUGUGUGCAGUCUUAUCUUGAGUUUGUUGUGAUUUGUUGUGAGUGCAUCUCUUAAGGGAUUAAGCCCUGCCCAGAUUUGUGCAAUGUAUAAAUACAUGUUGGCCUUGGCUGUUGCGUACUCCAUCUUAGGACUUGCUAAAGUUUGAUUUAAUCUGCAUAGGCUUGGCCCGGUUCAGUACAAGUCUUGUGGAAGUUUAAGUCUGAAGUCAGCCUUAGAUUAGGAUUGAUAUUAUUACUUAAAAGUGAAAGAUAAUUAGGUGGUUAAUAAAGUCGGACAAGUUUAAGAAUUACUUUAAGCUUAAGAGGAAAUAUUCAUAGGGAUAUUCCUAAGUUUGAUGUUGACUAGGUGCAGAUAUACAUGUGAUAUAUUAGCUGGUACAUUGUAUAUACACAUAAGUAUAUACGCCUUUAGGGAGUGUAUAUCAACGACCAAAGGGAUAGAAAUCCCAAUUAAGCUUCAAUGUUUAGUUGAAAUUCAGAUUUAGCAUGGAGCUAGCCUAGCCCAAUUCAACUUUAUAAAGAAGUAGUAUAGAUUUGUCUAGCCCAAAGUAAGAAUUUGAAGGGGCUUAGUUGUUUUCUUUUCUUUGGUGUCCACUCUUGGGUUCCCAAAGCCCAACAACUUGAUGUAGUCUGUGUUCUAGCUAUGUUAUAUACCUGUGUGUAUGUAUAAAUUUGAUAAGAUCAGUGGUGUUUUUUUCUAACUAGAGUCCUUUGUUUUUUCCUCUCCCUCCUCUACCACGUCCACUUGGACCGGGUCUGAAGCCAAACUGUUGGGCCAAGGCCCAACAGAAAUUCCUUCACAAUUAUCGAGUCCGUUGAACAAAAGGAAUCUAAUAUUAAAGAAAUGUGUACAAGGCCCAGCCAUGGGUGAAAAUGGCCAACUAGGGGCUUUGGUACGCCCCUAGCCUUCCCUCUUCUUUUUACUUUAGUUAGUUAUUUACGCUUUUCUUCUUUAUUUGUGAAGUUUGUCGUAUUGUGUAAAAAUUUGUAAAACUCAUAUAUUAUUGGAAUCUUUUAAGAUUAUGAACUAGU